GCUUUACUUGGAACUCGCCAAUUAUAAAUAUAGCAGGAGCGAGUCUCUCUCGACUGGCUGCCGCGCUUUCCUAAGUACUUUGGCUAAUUGCCGACUGCCGAUUGUUCUCUUUACUGGACGCACAUAUUUUUAUGUAUUUUCAAUAUGCUUAGUUGAAAAUAUCGAUAAUUAACGGCUUCAAUUGUAAUUUAAGCUAUCGCAGAUAGAGAACGAUGUAUCCGAUUUUAUUAUAACAAUUUUAACGAUGGUUCCCCAUGCGAAACAGGUGGCAGCCUUGUUGAUUUAUGAAACUUCGUUAAAUUUUAAAUACAAGUUUUGGUGCUAAUGGCUUGUCUAAAAUAAUUAAAUUGAAUUGAAUUUGUUACACGA